AUACGUCUCUAUCUUUGGGUAGAGAUCAGUUGACUGUCAUACUCCCAAGAAAAGCUCGAACUACUGUAAAACAUCAAAUACCUGUACCGUAAACCGACACAGGUGGGUUAGUAGAGUAUACUAAGGGGCGCGAGAUAACUCUCUCUAAGGAACUCGGCAAAAUGACCCCGUAACUUCGGGAGAAGGGGUGCCAAGUAACUUAAAUUGCUUGGACGCAGUGACCAGGCCCUGGCGACUGAUUAUCAAAAACACAGGUCUCCGCAAAGUCGUAAGACAACAUAUGGGGGCUGACGCCUGCCCAGUGCCGGAAGGUUAAAGAAGUUGGUUAUUCAUCCCCUUUGGGGAGGAAGAAGCUGACGACUGAAGCCCCGGUGAACGGCGGCCGUAACAAUAACGGUCCUAAGGUAGCGAAAUUCCUUGUCGGGUAAGUUCCGACCCGCACGAAAGGCGUAACGAUCAGGGCACUGUCUCGGAGAGAGACUCGGUGAAAUAGACAUGUCUGUGAAGAUGCGGACUACCUGCACCUGGACAGAAAGACCCUAUGAAGCUUGACUGUAGCUUGGAAUUGGGUUCGGGCUCUUCUUGCGCAGCCUAGGUGGGAGGCAUUGAAGGUUUUCUUUCGGGGAAACUGGAGCCAACAGUGAGAGACCACUCUGGAGGAGCUAGAAUUCUAAUGGCGUUCCUUGAAGCAGGACGCCUGACAGUUUCAGGUGGGCAGUUUGACUGGGGCGGUCACCUCCUAAAAGGUAACGGAGGUGUGCAAAGGUUCCCUCAGGCUGGACGGAAAUCAGCCGGAGAGUGUAAAGGCAGAAGGGAGCUUGACUGCAAGACCUACAAGUCGAGCAGGGGCGAAAGCCGGCCUUAGUGAUCCGACGGUUCCAUGUGGAAGGGCCGUCGCUCAACGGAUAAAAGUUACUCUAGGAUAACAGGCUGAUCUUCCCCAAGAGUUCACAUCGACGGGAAGGUUUGGCACCUCGAUGUCGGCUCAUCGCAACCUGGGGCGGUAGUACGUCCCAAGGGUUGGGCUGUUCGCCCAUGAAAGCGGUACGUGAGCUGGGUUCAGAACGUCGUGAGACAGUUCGGUCCAUAUCCGGUGUAGGCGUUAGAGCAUUGAGAGGAGCCUUCCAUAGUACGAGAGGACCUGGAAGGACGCACCUCUGGUAUACCAGUUAUCGUGCCAACGGUAGACGCUGGGUAGCCAUGUGUGGAGUGGAUAACCGCUGAAAGCAUCUAAGUGGGAAGCCCACCUCAAGAUGAGUGCUCUCCAUUAGGUCACAGGAAGACAACCUGUUCGAUAGGCAGAAGGUGUAAGGCCAGUAAUGGUUUCAGCUGAUCUGUACUAACAGACCGAAUGA
rnacentral:rRNA from 1 species